rnacentral:rRNA from 1 species
UACGAAGGGGGCUAGCGUUGCUCGGAAUUACUGGGCGUAAAGCGCACGUAGGCGGCUUUCUAAGUCGGGGGUGAAAUCCUGGAGCUCAACUCCAGAACUGCCUUCGAUACUGGAAAGCUCGAGUCCGGUAGAGGUGAGUGGAACUGCGAGUGUAGAGGUGAAAUUCGUAGAUAUUCGCAAGAACACCAGUGGCGAAGGCGGCUCACUGGCCCGGUACUGACGCUGAGGUGCGAAAGCGUGGGGAGCGAACAGG